ACGUGAGAUUAGAGGAACCAAACCCGGAUUUGUUUGCAUGGAAAAAACCGGAUUUGAUAAUCAACUAUACGUCCGUAAUUUUUGGUAGUAAUCCGAUUACAGCUUCGUAAUUAAUAUCCAAAAACAGUUCUGAAUUCUGAAAUAGAAGAAAAAGAGAAGCUUAAUCAUCGUGAAGCAGCUAUUUGCUGAAAAACCCUAAUAGAAAUCAAUUAUCAUCCUUUAAUCUCUUCACCGCGGUCACACAUUCAGUAUUUUCAACAUCGGAGUAUCAUUUGCGUUUUGAUUAACAUCUGGAGGCGUGU